rnacentral:rRNA from 1 species
UACGUAGGGCGCGAGCGUUGUCCGGAUUUAUUGGGCGUAAAGAGCUCGUAGGUGGUUCGUCGCGUCUGUCGUGAAAGCCAGCAGCUUAACUGUUGGUCUGCGGUGGGUACGGGCGGGCUUGAGUGCGGUAGGGGUGACUGGAAUUCCUGGUGUAGUGGUGGAAUGCGCAGAUAUCAGGAGGAACACCGAUGGCGAAGGCAGGUCACUGGGCCGUUACUGACGCUGAGGAGCGAAAGCGUGGGGAGCGAACAGG